UAAACUACGAUUAGAUACCCUAUUAUUUUAAAUGUAAAUUGAUAAAGAUCGGAGUAGUAAUAGUUAUGUUCUUGAAACUCAAAGAAUUUGGCGGUGCUUUAGUCCUUUCAGAGGAACCUGUCCCGUGAUCGAUAUUCCACGUUAUAUCUUACUUAGCUUUGUUAAUCAGUUUGUAUACCGCCGUCGUCAGAAUGUCCUUUUAGGGUAUAAAUUUUCUUAAAUUUUUAGUAAAUUUGAUGUCAGGUCAAGGUGCAGCUAAUGGUUAAGUGGAGGUGGGUUACAAUAAGUGAAUUUAUAAUGGAUAAUGAUUUGAAAGUUAAGUUGUUGGAAGGUGGAUUUGAUUGUAAUGUUUAAGAUUAAAUUAAUUUGAUUCUUGGCUCUAAAGCAUGCACACAUCGCCCGUCGCUCUUA
rnacentral:rRNA from 1 species